rnacentral:rRNA from 1 species
CCUACGGGAGGCAGCAGUAGGGAAUAUUGCUCAAUGGGGGAAACCCUGAAGCAGCAACGCCGCGUGGAGGAUGAAGGUUUUCGGAGUGUAAACUCCUUUUGUUAGAGAAGAUAAUGACGGUAUCUAAGGAAUAAGCACCGGCUAACUCCGUGCCAGCAGCCGCGGUAAUAUGGAGGGUGCAAGCGUUAUUCGGAAUCACUGGGCGUAAAGAGCGCGUAGACGGGAUAGCAAGUCAGAUGUGAAAGUCUAUGGCUUAACCAUAGAAAUGCAUUUGAAACUGUUAUUCUAGCGUAUAGGAGAGGUAGGUGGAAUUCUUGGUGUAGGGGUAAAAUGCGUAGAGAUCAAGAGGAAUACUGAUUGCGAAGGCGACCUGCUAGAACAUAACUGACGCUGAUGCGCGAAAGCGUGGGGAGCAAACAGGAUUAGAUACCCGAGUAGUC